GGAAAAGUUGGAGUUUGUGACGGAGCUGCUGCUGGAGACACUGGAUGAGCUUGAUGAGGGAGAGAUUGAAAAGUUUCAGACAAUUACUCAGAAUAAAAUUGACCAUCAGAGCGAAUAUAUACCGAUUUGGGAAACCAGAUUAAUAAAUGUGCGAUACAUUGUGGUGGUUUUUGUUCUGACUUUCUUCCACCAGUCAGUGGAGGCGACCAUGGAUGUCUUAAAGCAGAUGAAGAAGGAUGAUCUGGUAGAGAAGCUGUCAGGCAGAAGCUCAGGACCUAAAGAGAAACCUUCUGCAGGUCAGCAUCGUUCUGCUCUGAUCCACAAAGUGGCGACGAUGGCAGCUGUUAGACAGCAACUCCUGGAAACUCUGGGC